rnacentral:snRNA from 1 species
GGAUGUGAGGGCGAUCUGGCUGCGACAUCUGUCACCCCAUUGAUCACCAGGGUUGAUUCGGCUGAUCUGGCUGGCUAGGCGGGUGUCCCCUUCCUCCCUCACCGCUCCAUGUGCGUCCCUCCCGAAGCUGCGCACUCGGUCGAAGAGGACGACCUUCCCCGAUAGAGGAGAGGACCGUUCUUCGGUCAAGGGUAUACGAGUAGCUGCGCUCCCCUGCUAGAACCUCCAAACAAGCUCUCAAGAAUUCAAUCAGUGAAAUAAACUAGAAAUAGAUAUUAUAAUUGGUAUUUGUCAGCCAUU